rnacentral:rRNA from 1 species
ACGGAAGGCAGCAGUGGGGAAUAUUGGGCAAUGGGGGAAACCCUGACCCAGCAACGCCGCGUGAAGGAAGAAGGCCUUCGGGUUGUAAACUUCUUUUACCAGGGACGAUAAUGACGGUACCUGGAGAAAAAGCAACGGCUAACUACGUGCCAGCAGCCGCGGUAAUACGUAGGUUGCAAGCGUUGUCCGGAUUUACUGGGUGUAAAGGGCGUGUAGGCGGAGCUGCAAGUCAGAUGUGAAAUCCCGGGGCUCAACCCCGGAACUGCAUUUGAAACUGUAGCCCUUGAGUAUCGGAGAGGCAAGCGGAAUUCCUAGUGUAGCGGUGAAAUACGUAGAUAUUAGGAGGAACACCAGUGGCGAAGGCGGCUUGCUGGACGACAACUGACGCUGAGGCGCGAAAGCGUGGGGAGCAAACAGGAUUAGAUACCCUGGUA